GUUGUACAAAGAUUAAUUUAACAUUUUCUCUGGAAGUAUUAAUUUAGAAAGAUAAUAUGCUUCUUUGGUGUUGUGUUUUGAAGUGUGAAAUGCAAAGUAAUUGUGAUAAAGUCAAGAUAAAGUUCACUUUUAAACUGAACUAAAUAAGGUAUCUGAGAGACAACAAUGGUUAAAUGCAAUACAAUGUACAGGUUUUACUAGCGAAAUGAAAAUUUUCCUGUCCUGUCUGCUGUAAUCAUUUUAUAUCUGGAAAACCAGCCGACUUAAUCGAUAAUAACAAUCUCCAGAUUGGGUUCCUUCAAUAAAUAUGGGCUAUUAACACAAUGAAAUAAGUUCCAGAAAAUCUAAAAUGGAGUGGUAUCAAAGGAGAAUUAAAGGAAAAAAUAUUCAUAUUGAAAUUAUUUAUAAGGCACUGGACUGUCUUAAAUUCUACAAUAAUACUAGAAUCAGCUGAGAGAAGUGGUCUACAAAAAACCAGGAAGGAAACGGAAUAUGUGGCUACGAAAGGCAAAAGAAAGGUUUACAAAGCAAAUGUGACACAUUUUUUUGAAAUAUUUAGGAAUAUCAGUA